AAGGGUUCCUGUCCAACGUUAAUCGGGGCAGGGUGA
rnacentral:rRNA from 1 species